CACAGUGAAAGAAUCCAAAAAUGUAGGAGAGGCAUACACACCUUUUGUGGGUUAUCUGCUCAAAUCAAAUCCAAGAGGAUCAUCCAUCAAUGUCCAAACUCACACGAUGUCAAGACUUACUGCUUUACUAAAAGGGUGAAGUUACUUUAGGAUUCUAUCCCAAGAGCUUUGCUUGCUCAGUAAGAUUGUUACAGUUGUGAUGGUCCAGGCUGGAGAUGUCUGGGGCCUUCAUUAGCAUGGUGGGAGGUGGAGGAGGAUGAUGAGGCACAGAAAGAGGA
rnacentral:lncRNA from 1 species